UACGUAGGGUGCAAGCGUUAAUCGGAAUUACUGGGCGUAAAGCGUGCGCAGGCGGUCGGGUGUGUCAGAUGUGAAAUCCCGAGGCUCAACCUCGGAACUGCGUCUGAAACUACUCGACUAGAGUACUGGAGAGGGUAACGGAAUUCACGGUGUAGCAGUGAAAUGCAUAGAUAUCGUGAGGAACACCAGAGGCGAAGGCGGUUACCUGGACAGUUACUGACGCUCAGGCACGAAAGCAUGGGGAGCAAAAGGG
rnacentral:rRNA from 1 species